UUUGCCGAUUUUGAGAUUUUACGAUGGAUACAAUGUCCAGGUUCAUUUCCGUAUACAGUAUGCGUCAUGUACCUAAGUGACCAAUGAAAAGUUGUGAAAUCAUGUCAUCUGAUUUUCAAGUAUAUCCAUUUGGUGUCAAAGCUGUCAAUCACGCCGCGUAUCUCCCGCUCUGUGGAGCCAUCUCAGCUGUCUCGUGUCAUCUCAUUAGCGUCUCUGGAAGCGCAUCAUCGGGUAGCUGAAUAACACUUUGAAGAUUCAGUUGAAAGUGACGGUGGAGAUACAGCUGCCAAUGAGGAUUCUCUGGAAAGUGAUAAUGACAAUCUCACUGAAAGUGACAGUGAGGACUCACUUGAACACGAUCCUGAAAAUGACCCGGAUUACACACCUGUCAAUGAAGAUGCUGUUGCUGUUGACCGGGGAAGGUCAAGGAAGAGGGCCAACCCAGACGCUUGGAAGGGUAACAUCCAGAAAAGGAGAAGAAUGAGGGGCCAAUCAUAUCUUGGACGGGAAAAAAAUGAAUUCAUCAACAAAGAAGAACGAAAAAUGGAGGGGCGGUGCCUGGCUGAGUCCUGCCAGAAAUCCAGCAAACUACACUGCACCGAAAUCGAUGAAGGGAAGAGGGAAGAAAUAUUCAAGUAUUUUUGGGGGAAAUUGGACUGGAAAGAAAGGAAAAUCUACGUGAAGUCACUGGCGGAGGUUAGUGAUGUCAAGCGGCGCCGGACAGAAGCGGUUCAGUCUCGGAGGUCAGCAUCUCUCUGUUGUUUUUUAUGUGUUGAUGGUAGAAGGCUCAGAGUUUGUCAGCGGAUGUUCCUGUCAACCCUUGGCAUCAA